rnacentral:lncRNA from 1 species
GCGCUGACGGAUUUUAGGUUUGAUGCACGAAUUUUGAGAAAUUUGAAAAUACAUGUAUUAUAUGUAUUUGUUCGUGGUUUUGCAAUUCGGAGAGAGGACGGGUUUCGUCGCGAAUCUGCGACCGAAACAGGCAAAACAAAUUAUGGGUUUGCUGUCUCUGUCGUGCUGAUCGCACUGGUGCAAUACGUUCGCAAAUUUGACGGACGGAUUUGCUGAUAUUCCAUGUUGAUCGAGGAGGGGCUGUAAUUGG